CCUACGGGCGGCUGCAGUGGGGAAUAUUGCACAAUGGGCGCAAGCCUGAUGCAGCCAUGCCGCGUGUGUGAAGAAGGCCUUCGGGUUGUAAAGCACUUUCAGCGGGGAGGAAGGCGGUGAGGUUAAUAACCUCAUCGAUUGACGUUACCCGCAGAAGAAGCACCGGCUAACUCCGUGCCAGCAGCCGCGGUAAUACGGAGGGUGCAAGCGUUAAUCGGAAUUACUGGGCGUAAAGCGCACGCAGGCGGUCUGUCAAGUCGGAUGUGAAAUCCCCGGGCUCAACCUGGGAACUGCAUUCGAAACUGGUAGGCUAGAGUCUUGUAGAGGGGGGUAGAAUUCCAGGUGUAGCGGUGAAAUGCGUAGAGAUCUGGAGGAAUACCGGUGGCGAAGGCGGCCCCCUGGACAAAGACUGACGCUCAGGUGCGAAAGCGUGGGGAGCAAACAGGAUUAGAUACCCCGGUAGUC
rnacentral:rRNA from 1 species